UGUUGUUGGGUAGGGGAGCGUUCUGUAAGCCUGUGAAGGUGGCCUGUGAGGGUUGCUGGAGGUAUCAGAAGUGCGAAUGCUGACAUAAGUAACGAUAAAGCGGGUGAAAAGCCCGCUCGCCGGAAGACCAAGGGUUCCUGUCCAACGUUAAUCGGGGCAGGGUGAGUCGACCCCUAAGGCGAGGCCGAAAGGCGUAGUCGAUGGGAAACGGGUUAAUAUUCCCGUACUUGGUGUUACUGCGAAGGGGGGACGGAGAAGGCUAUGUUGGCCGGGCGACGGUUGUCCCGGUUUAAGCGUAUAGGUGUGUGUUCCAGGUAAAUCCGGUUCACUUUAACACUGAGGCGUGAUGACGAGGCGCUACGGUGCUGAAGCAACAAAUGCCCUGCUUCCAGGAAAAGCCUCUAAGCAUCAGGUAACAUCAAAUCGUACCCCAAACCGACACAGGUGGUCAGGUAGAGAAUACCAAGGCGCUUGAGAGAACUCGGGUGAAGGAACUAGGCAAAAUGGUGCCGUAACUUCGGGAGAAGGCACGCUGACAUGUAGGUGAAGUGAUUUACUCACGGAGCUGAAGUCAGUCGAAGAUACCAGCUGGCUGCAACUGUUUAUUAAAAACACAGCACUGUGCAAACACGAAAGUGGACGUAUACGGUGUGACGCCUGCCCGGUGCCGGAAGGUUAAUUGAUGGGGUCAGCGCAAGCGAAGCUCCUGAUCGAAGCCCCGGUAAACGGCGGCCGUAACUAUAACGGUCCUAAGGUAGCGAAAUUCCUUGUCGGGUAAGUUCCGACCUGCACGAAUGGCGUAAUGAUGGCCAGGCUGUCUCCACCCGAGACUCAGUGAAAUUGAACUCGCUGUGAAGAUGCAGUGUACCCGCGGCAAGACGGAAAGACCCCGUGAACCUUUACUAUAGCUUGACACUGAACAUUGAGCCUUGAUGUGUAGGAUAGGUGGGAGGCUUUGAAGUGUGGACGCCAGUCUGCAUGGAGCCGACCUUGAAAUACCACCCUUUAAUGUUUGAUGUUCUAACGUGGACCCGUAAUCCGGGUUGCGGACAGUGUCUGGUGGGUAGUUUGACUGGGGCGGUCUCCUCCUAAAGAGUAACGGAGGAGCACGAAGGUUGGCUAAUCCUGGUCGGACAUCAGGAGGUUAGUGCAAUGGCAUAAGCCAGCUUGACUGCGAGCGUGACGGCGCGAGCAGGUGCGAAAGCAGGUCAUAGUGAUCCGGUGGUUCUGAAUGGAAGGGCCAUCGCUCAACGGAUAAAAGGUACUCCGGGGAUAACAGGCUGAUACCGCCCAAGAGUUCAUAUCGACGGCGGUGUUUGGCACCUCGAUGUCGGCUCAUCACAUCCUGGGGCUGAAGUAGGUCCCAAGGGUAUGGCUGUUCGCCAUUUAAAGUGGUACGCGAGCUGGGUUUAGAACGUCGUGAGACAGUUCGGUCCCUAUCUGCCGUGGGCGCUGGAGAACUGAGGGGGGCUGCUCCUAGUACGAGAGGACCGGAGUGGACGCAUCACUGGUGUUCGGGUUGUCAUGCCAAUGGCACUGCCCGGUAGCUAAAUGCGGAAGAGAUAAGUGCUGAAAGCAUCUAAGCACGAAACUUGCCCCGAGAUGAGUUCUCCCUGAGACUUUAAGUCUCCUGAAGGAACGUUGAAGACGACGACGUUGAUAGGCCGGGUGUGUAAGCGCAGCGAUGCGUUGAGCUAACCGGUACUAAUGAACCGUGAGGCUUAACCUUACAACGCCGAAG
rnacentral:rRNA from 1 species